rnacentral:rRNA from 1 species
AAAUGAAUUGACGGGGGCCCGCACAAGCGGUGGAGCAUGUGGUUUAAUUCGACGCAACGCGAAGAACCUUACCAGGGCUUGACAUCCUCUGAUGUCCAUAGAGAUAUGGAGUUCGAUUUUCGGAUUGACAGAGAGACAGGUGGUGCAUGGUUGUCGUCAGCUCGUGUCGUGAGAUGUUGGGUUAAGUCCCGCAACGAGCGCAACCCUUAUUCUUAGUUGCCAGCAUUAAGUUGGGCACUCUAAGGAGACUGCCGGUGACAAACCGGAGGAAGGUGGGGAUGACGUCAAAUCAUCAUGCCCUUUAUGUCCUGGGCUACACACGUGCUACAAUGGCCUGUACAGAGGGUAGCGAAGCUGUGAAGUGGAGCCAAUCCCAAAAAGCAGGUCUCAGUUCGGAUUGUAGGCUGCAACUCGCCUACAUGAAGUCGGAAUCGCUAGUAAUCGCGAAUCAGCAUGUCGCGGUGAAUACGUUCCCGGGCCUUGCACACACCGCCCGU